AGAGUUUGAUCCUGGCUCAGAGCGAACGCUGGCVGCGUGCCUAACACAUGCAAGUCGAACGUGAAAGGGAGCAAUCCUGAGUAAAGUGGCGUACGGGUGAGUAACACGUAGGUAAUCUACCUUAAAGCCUGGAAUAACCUGCCGAAAGGCGGGCUAAUACUGGAUAGAGCGAAGAACUCAUAAAGAGUUUUUCGGGAAAGGGAGCUCGCAAGAGCCUUCACUUUAGGAUGAGCCUGCGUCCCAUUAGCUAGUUGGUAAGGUAAUGGCUUACCAAGGCUAUGAUGGGUAGCUGGUCUGAGAGGAUGAUCAGCCACACUGGAACUGAAACACGGUCCAGACUCCUACGGGAGGCAGCAGUGGGGAAUCUUGCGCAAUGGACGAAAGUCUGACGCAGCCAC
rnacentral:rRNA from 1 species